GCUGAACAAGUCAAUGCGUGAGUCAAAUAAAUUAGUAAAAUAAAAUAAAAUAAGACGAAAGUUUAAUAUCUUCCACUUAUUCAAUAUGUAAAUUGUGUGUGUGUGUGUGUGUGUGUGUGUGUGUGUGUGUGUGUGUGUGUGUGUGUGUGUGUGUGUGUGUGUGUGUGUGUGUGUGUGUGUGUGUGUGUGUGUGUGUGUGUGUGUGUGAGUCAAUUUACGCAACCCCGAGUUGCCCCACGAGGACUUAACAGCAAAUGAAGUACAAAAAUAUAGUUUAAACAGCAAAUCGAAAAAAUGCAGAGGCCCGGCAGACUGGAGGGGGUCCACCACCUGCAGCCCUCACAGAGGCUGAGGAGAUGGCCCUCAGCCAACAGAGUAUGCGUCCUGUGGCUGAGAGCAUCCCUGGGGGGAGCUCCUCUGAUCCCCCCCCCCCCAGGAUAGAAGUGCCUUUACAGUAUAAGAGUUACUGAUGGCGUCAUCGCCCUACUUGAACCAGAUGCCCUCAACCUCCAUGCAAUUGUAACAAUUCAAAAGAUGCAAAAGGAUGCUUUGGAGAUCCAAAUUUUGGAACAUAAGUUAUAGGUGGGUGAGGUGCAAACUGGGAUAGGCUACUGUUCCCUGCUCUAAAAACAUACCCAAUAUAAAU
ensembl:lncRNA